UUGACCUCGGAUCAGGUAGGAAGACCCGCUGAACUUAAGCAUAUCAAUAAGCGGAGGAAAAGAAACCAACAGGGAUUGCCCUAGUAACGGCGAGUGAAGCGGCAACAGCUCAAAUUUGAAAUCUGGCUUCGGCCCGAGUUGUAAUUUGCAGAGGAAGCUUUAGGCGCGGCACCUUCUGAGUCCCCUGGAACGGGGCGCCAUAGAGGGUGAGAGCCCCGUAUAGUUGGAUGCCUAGCCUGUGUAAAGCUCCUUCGACGAGUCGAGUAGUUUGGGAAUGCUGCUCAAAAUGGGAGGUAAAUUUCUUCUAAAGCUAAAUACCGGCCAGAGACCGAUAGCGCACAAGUAGAGUGAUCGAAAGAUGAAAAGCACUUUGAAAAGAGGGUUAAAUAGCACGUGAAAUUGUUGAAAGGGAAGCGCUUGUGACCAGACUUGCGCCGGGCGGAUCAUCCGGUGUUCUCACCGGUGCACUCCGCCCGGCUCAGGCCAGCAUCGGUUCUCGCGGGGGGAUAAAGGUCCUGGGAACGUAGCUCCUCCGGGAGUGUUAUAGCCCGGGGCGUAAUGCCCUCGCGGGGACCGAGG
rnacentral:rRNA from 1 species